rnacentral:tRNA from 2 species
ACAGAUGACCGAGUGGUUAAGGUGUAAGAUUCGAAAUCUUAUGGGUAUCCCCGCGCAGGUUCGAUUCCUGUUCUGUG